ACAAACAGAGACAGACGGGAGAGGAAGGGACUUUCACUCACUAAGAUGGGCGCAGUUUCCUGAGAUCUACUAGAAACGGACGCGCCAAGAGGGGAGCGAUUCUCAGGGGCACACGGUUAAUGCCUGGAGAGCCAACUCAGGAUGCAUCCCGGCUACUCUGCAGCUGACUGAACCCAAACAAGGCACUUUCCCUCCCCGAAGUUCCCUCGACCAAUGCCGGACACCCCCAGCUCCUGCAUCUUCUGGGACCUCAAUCCAGGAGACGGGCUUCUCCGCCGGGACUCAGCCACGCCGACUUCUGGCUUCUUCCCAUCAGCUCAUAAAUGCAGCCAAGUCUCCUUGAUCGAAAAGCACCCACACAGAUGAAGGAAAGUAGAAAUAAAAAAGGUGCUCUUCCAGAACACACACCAGCAGCAGCAGCAGCAAAAAAAAAAAAAAAAAAAAAGCCGAAUGAUAAUCGGGGAAGUCUUUGCCACCAAGAGACCAAAGAGCAAUUACCUCGCUGAUGAGCUCAAACAAAUGAAUCAGAAACUCAGAUAUUGUCAUUUCACAAGGUACUACGGUUCCUUUCAUCCAGAAGUUUCCAGCUUGGAGAGGAGUGAAACAAUGCAAACACAGGGCAUUUAGCAGGGCUUUCGAGCUCACCUAGGAGGUCCAACGGGUGGAAGUGCAUUCCGGAGUGAAAGCCGCGCGAGUGCAGAGCUCGGGUGACUCGGCUGGUGGAGCCCUACACCCAGCUGCCUGGAGGGGCGGCAGUGGGUGGGGAGGGUGGUGGUGGGGGGAGGAAAGAGCUGUUCCACAUUUCAAGUUCCUUUUCUCCUGUGCCAGUCCUGUCCCAAAUGUCCCCGGCAGCCCCCUCCUUACUCGGCCUCCUAUCCCAGUUGGGACCUUUAACCUAGACAGCCAGAAGGGCUUCCAUCGGUAUAAGGAAAGGAGACGUAUUUCAGAAUUUCUAUUUGGGAGUCUGUCCUCUAAUACCGUGCUGUCCUAGCAGACAGGUGCCCCAGGCACUAGGAACAAGUUUGGGAGGAAGAGGAACAGGAUUCCAUCUUGCCUCUCCCUUUCUUUUGUAUUUGGGCCGCCUGGGGAGUUCCGCCUAGGGGAUCUCUGAGCAGGAACACCCAGCGAAGACCUAGGUAUGGAGGGUACAGUCAUGGCCAGCCUGGGUCCUGCUUCUGCCAACCCCCGCCAGCGAGGAGCAGGCAAUCACUCAGCAUCUCCGGGGCGGAGGGGAAAGGGUGUCCUCCUGAGGGAAGGGUGGAUGCGGGGGUG